rnacentral:lncRNA from 1 species
UACAAUACAACAAAUGAUAAUAGUAUUACUAAAGAACAUAAUUACAUUCAAUGUCCAUUUCAGUAAUCACACACAACAAUAAAUCACUUUUAUUUACCAGAUAUUCAAAUGCUAAUUUUGAAAAAUACUUUUUUUUUUUAAGUCAACCAAUAAUUUUAUCGAAAACAACCCUCACUUAUGGCGGAGGAAUACCGUGAUGACAAAAUAGCCUUACAAAUAACGAAUUUAAAAAUUUUCUAGACCAAUCAACUCACUUACGUAAAUAGGGAACUCCAAUGCGAUCCAACUGAACAAAUCCUCGAGCCUACUCAAGCAAGUCACCAGAAGAUGUAAAUCUCUGCACUACCCCUUGUGCACCCAUUUUUGCUAAUAAAUCCACCACUUGAUUGCCUUCCCUGAACUAGUGUGAAAUCUGUAUCUCAAAUAAACUCAUUAAGUUUAAUAACCCCUCCCAAAAAUCCCACAAAUACCAAACUGUGCAUUUGCAUUUCAACAUCCAUUCGACAACAAUCUUGGAAUUUUGAAAAAUACUUAAUUUACCAUAUAAUUAUCUAAUUGUUCCUGUAGAAUCCCAAAAUUUUACGAGUUUUAUCAAAUAUUUUUUUUUUUCAAUUGACAAAAAUGUCAUGUCUAGUCAAGUAUUUAUGCAAGUCAGUUUGUUAUGAUUAAUAGUUAAUUUGGAUCUAUAUAAUUUUUCCUUAAUAGUUGAGGGAUCAAAAUAAAAAUUAAUAUUAGAUUUUAUAGUUAUUUAAUUGGUUCAAAUAGUUAACUAUUAAAAGAGUUAGAAUUACCAUAUCAAUAUUAGGUUAAUUUUGAAGCCGUAAUAAAUUGUGCAUUCUAAACUCAAGAAAAAGUUGUUUUGAAUAAGGCAAACUCGAGUUAGAGCCAAAUAAAAAAUCUCCUUAGUUAAUAAUACUAGUUUUCGAUUUAGACCAAACUACUAUAGAAAUAUUGGACUCGUUCGACAGAUCAUAAUUAAUUGUGCACAUUAGGAUUAAAAAGAAAAAAUAAUAAUUUUGAUAAGACUGAACUACGUUAGAGGAGACCGAAGCAAAUUAUCUUUAAAGGAUUUUGGAAAAAAUACAUUCACCAAGAUUAAUCACUUACAGUCAGUUUGAAUUCAAAUAAGAUUAGUUGUUUUGCCAAUUAGAUUAUAUCAAACUCUAUCGUAUAAUUAAUUUAAUAAUAAUGUCAUUCAAUUGAGUUAGGAAUUCAAUUUUCACUCUUUUUCUCUUGCUAAUAACGUGUAUGGAUCUAAAAAUACUUGAUAUGGAUAGAAAUUUGUAAUCUAAUGCCUAAUUUAUUUGGAUUAUAAUUAAUAGUACGUUUGAUUGGGAUAAUGUUGCAUAUGUAAUAGCCAUAAAUUUGUGUUAUAUAAUGCUUCAUUUGUCAUUAAUUUUGAAUGUGGCAUUUUUACUGAUGACUAGUAAGAUGCACGGGCAAUGCACGUGAAAUGUUGUAGUUGACUCUAUAAUAGCGUAGAUAUAUAGAAGAAAUCACGCGUAUUAGCUGAACAAUAUAUGGAAUACUAUGAGAGCUUAUAAUUAGAAUGUAAUGGUAAAUAGAGGUUAAUGUAGACAAUUGAUAAAGCUUGAACUUAUACAAUAUCACAGCUAAGUUGCGAGCUACAAAAGCCUCGUGAAGGCAGUUAUACAUUCCUAUUACAAAAUUAAGAAAUGUUUCAACUUGAAAUCAUCAAGAAGUUAUCGUACGUUCCAGCUAACUAACGUUAAACUUCAUGGGAGUAGUUAUCAUAGAAACCAGCGCUACAAAGUAAAACAAAGUUAUUCGUUGACGGGUGCAGUUCUAUUAGUUUGACGGAGAUGGCAAAACACGCUUUUAGGUUGUAGCAUUGAUGUCGUCCACGAAAAGAUAUGACGAUAAUUAGCUGAGCUUUCUCAUUAUUAUGACUCGAUGAGUUUUAGAGCUGGAGAUAUCAAUACUUCUCUCAGAUGGUAUAUCAGGAAGUACUGGCUCGGCUGAAGUUUGAAAGAGCACUUGUUUUGCUUAUGGUGUGGAUGUUUUUUUGUUAUCAGAAUUAGUGUUUAUUUCAGCAAAGUCUAAUAGUGCUGUAACUAUUUUACCAAUUACAUUUUGUUUUCUAAUAGUCCAUGGUCAUUUGUUCACAUCCCACACAAAAUUAGACGAAAAAUCUCUAUACAAAAGAGUUCUAGCUUUUUCAUUUGUGAUAUUCAUGUGAAAGAAUUAAGUUAACAUUGUUCAUCGUGUGUGAUCUCUAUACGUAAUUGUUUGAUGGUCUUCAAGAUGCAAAUGUAGUGAACCAAUUGAUAGAAACAUCUUAGAAAAUACAAAUUCAUAAAUAUUCCACAUUGCUUCAGAUGGAGAGAUCCGCCUAGCAUUUUGAUAUAUUGAAAUUUCAUCAAUAUCAUCUUUGUUAUUUUCAAUUCGGAAAAACUAAUUCGAUCAUUUCCUUUGUAAACAUAUUUAUAUAAAUAUUUGACAGCUUUAACAGUUGAACAUGUUUCUACAUUAAUACAACAAUCAUACUUAGCCGUUAAGUAAGGGUUAUAAGGUACAACCCACCUAUUAUCCAAUAAAUGUCCUUUGACUUGAUCUUUUUUAUCGUCAUUACAGUGUCUAUAUUGUGGAUAUGAAUUGUUGCCCGGUGAAGUUAUUGCAUAUUCUCUCGGGUAUUUAUUUUUACAUUUUUUGUUACUUUCCAUACAAACAUUAUUUGGAUUUAAUGUUCCACAAGGACCAUGCAUCAUGUAUCUCACAACAGUAUCAUAUAAAUGUGGAUAAUGAUUUCUAUUUGGGAUUUUACAACAAACAAUUUUAUCAACUAAAGGAAUGGAUGUAACUUUAGAUCCAGUUUUAAAAAUUAACAAAAAAUGAGCAUGUGGAAAACCUCUCUUUUAGAAUUCGACCACGUAUAUGUACGCGGAAACAGGUCCUAGAAAAUGCCUUCUAAACAAAUCAUUUUUUAGUUAUUCUAAUUUAGCUCUAUAUAUCCUUGCAAACAAAUCAGGUCUAUUUUGUUUUUCGUCAUUAUAUCUUAGUUCUUCCUUUAUUUCAAGCCAAUUAGGAUUACAAGUUAUUGUCAAAAACACACAUGGCUUAUCAUAUCUUUGAACAAGUGCCUUUGCAUCCAUAUAUCUCUUUUUAUUAUCCCUAGGUCCUCCAGUAAAUGAUGAUGGUAAAAUAAUCAUUCGACCGAUUUCAUGACCUCUAGUUUCACCUAUUUCAACACUAUCAACAAUUCCUUGAUAUAGCUCUACUCGUAAUUGUUUUUUAUUAUUACGAAAAUAAUCUAAUCUAACAAUUUCAAUUUUCAUAUACAUAUCAACAACAUAUUGUUGUAAAAUCCUACCAGCAUGAAGUAAGAUGCAAUUACCUGAGUCUCGUACCUUUAAUUAUAGCAGCAGUACUCUCGACAUAACACUUGUGACCUUUUCUUUCCCUUCAUAACUACAAGACAGAAAAACAAAAACAAUAAUCAAACUAUAUUCUAGGACAAAAUUAAAUGGGAAAAAUCAAUAUUAUUAAUCUUGACUUUCUCUUUUAAUCAAUUCACUUACAGAAUGUAUAUUGCUCAUGUUUAAAAGGUUCUCUUGUAUAGAAUAAUAUCCAAUCACCUCUUUAUUAAAUCUAGGAAUGCCCUUGUGCCAUCCAGAUUCACUGUAAGGAAAAAGCAACGGCUAUAGAAGAGGGUCAUAACAACCAAAAUAAUAGUGCACUUUGUGUGAAGUGCCAGUACGAUCGUAAAUCAUUAUAUCAUGGACUCUGCUAUUUGUAGAUGGAUCUUUAUCAACCCAAACAGAAGCUACUUGUGAAACAGUUGGUGUGUUAUAUACUCGCUGGUCUGGGCCAAGAUCGCAUCGUAUUUGUAUUCAACAUGUAUGCAAAUUGCCAAAACUAGUUAAGAGCAGAAGAACCUAGAAUAAGGAUUAAUCUUUAAGAUAUCAAUCAAUAUUUGUAAGGUUGAUUCACAAAAUUUAUCCGAAAUGUUUAAUCGAUUCGGUAAUUCAUUAUUAGUAUCAUAGAAGUAUAGCUGUAAAUAUGUUGGAUUAUCAAUAAAUGGUAAAAGUGGAUUUAUGUAAUGGUAAACUUGUCUUUAAACUCUAAAUGCAUAAAUUCCUUUAAUCAUCUUACAUAAAUUAUUUAUCAUAAUUGACACCAAAUGAUGUUAAUGCAAAAUGAUUGCUAUAAGUCCAAGCAAAUUUUUUGAACCGUAAUGCUUCGGGUAAAUUUGAUGUAAUAAUUGAUACAAUUCAUUGGGCUCACGAUGCAUAUACUAUUUAACUUUUCCAUCAGUAUAACAAAAUCCUUUACUCUCUUUCCAAUUUUUUUGGCACCACAAUAUUUACAAAUAGUUGGUUGAGCAAGAACUUAAGUUUUAGUUGGAAUACUAUGCAAGUUAAAUGCUGUAGUAAUUCAUUAUUUUCUACAUCUUCACAUCACCUAGAAAUCACUCUUGUUUGUAGUCAGAUCUACCAUUGAGUCCUUCUUUCGAUAUAAUACUUCUAGCCCUCAAAGAUACGGUAUAACUACAUCCCACAACUAAAUCAAAUUCAAUUUUAAUUAACACUGAGAAAUGCAAAUAAUAUUUCAACAAUAACCAUUGCAAAAAGAUCAUGUAGAGAACCUGAACUUAACAAAUAUAAGUAACGAGAUGGUUAACAUCUAUAAACGGACAAGUUCAAAAACAGAUAUAUUGGGAACAUUAUUUGUGCAGCCUACGCGUUCACUUCUAGCAAAUUGACAUCCACCAUACUCUUCAACAUGCCAUAGCAGCAAAGUUAUAGUGAAUAGAUCUUAAAAAAUAAAAAAAUAAAUAAAGGAAAAAGGAAAAAGGAAAAAGAAAAGAAAAAAAAUUAGAGGAAGAAUAAAUUAUUUCACAAAUCUAAAUUGUCAUAUCCCACCUUCAUGAUAUAAUAAAAAAUGUAAAUUGCAGCCAAGUAUUUUCAUGAUAAUUCAACUAAUUUAUGCUAAUGUACACAUCUACUAUAUUAAAUUAAAAUACAAAAGAGAAGGAAAUAUUCUACAUUGUACCUUCAUUUGUUUCAGUUUUAUCAUUAGGCUCACAGAGCUGUUCACAGGCAUAAGGUAAAUCCCUGGAUGAUCCACUUUCAAUACAUCCUCCAAGUACCCAAGAAAGGAGAAAUGUAGUAUGAGUAAUAUAUAGUGGAUAAAGACCUCUGUUACACAGAGCACAAAACAUAGACAUCAUAAAUCUAGCAGGCAGUGUCACAGAAAUUAAACCAACAUAUUAUAGCUUAACAAAUACAAUGCAAAAUUCACCUUUUAUAAAAGCAAACAUUUCAUAAUAUAGAAAUUGUACAUAGACUUAAAUAACAUGGCUUACCAAUCGCAAAAUAGAUGUAACUCUUAACAUAGCCAAAUGUCUGCAUUUUGUCAUCCACAUUUCGUAAUGCAGCUGCAAUUCAUGUUGUGCAACUGCCAAUGCCAUGCAACCUUUUUUCUAUUUUUUUUCUUUUAGUGGAAUAAAUGAGGCAUUAUAAUCGUCAUUGUUCAUAUGCUCAGUCUCCACCACAUCUUUAGAUUCAUCUCUAACACUCUGAACAAAGCUACAAUCUUCAAUAUCGACAGAUCCUAAAAAAUUAUAGGAAAAUAAAUCGCUCAAACUGUACGCGAUAAACAAUUUAUUUUUAGACAACACAAACUGAUAAAUUUAAUACAUCAGAUAAAUAAUGAAAAUUACGAAAUAAGCAUAUAUUUUUGGAUAAAAAAAGAACUUAAAAGAAAUACACUUCUACAAAUAAUGAACUCAACCCUCAUCAAUUUAGCUAAAUUCAGAUUUUUAUUAACUUUUGAUCGAAAAAUGUAACACACGUGUAGUUCAAAAUGAGUUCAAGAAGAUAAAAGUAAUUUAACAAAAUAAAAGACAUACUAAAACCUAACAUUGAAACUGUUAGCAUGUCUGGAAAGGAAACUGCAAGUUGCAAACACAGAGACAACACGACGUUACAGUUGAAGAAGGCAAAAAUAAUAAUACAAUUACCUACUACUCGGCAUUUCUCUUUAUUUUUCCCAAAAUUUUUUUACAGAGUCAAAGCUAUAAUAGCUUCUCAGUAGCUUUUGGAAAUCAAAGCAAGUCUUGUUAUGAAUUCAAAAUACAAUAAAUUAGUAUUUAAUUAAUAGGGAAAGUACACCCUCUAUUUUCAAUUGAAUCUAGUGAACUCCAAAAAUUACUGCUUGCAUAACUUUUCAAAACGUAAUAAAAUGCAAUAAAAUCCCAAAAAUUUUAAAAACUGUAUAUAAAAGGAAAAUGCCUCUUCACAGAGAACAAGAAGAACAUAUCAUAGAAAAGAAGGAAAAUAACUCAAUACAAAAAAAUAAAUAAAUCAUACUUCACGUUUAGCCUAUUCAAAACUUAGAAAGCACAGAUCUUACCACAUAAACCGUUGAUUGUGUUUAUAUUCACCUCGAUCUUGUUGAUCGUCUUUGAAAAUGCACCAAAAAUAUAACGAAUCCUCUCAAACAGGAAAACAAAUACCAAUUAAUUCGUGAGAAAAUGAAAGGGAUGCACGUCGGAAGAGAAGUAGAAGAAAUUUUUUAGUGAUAAAAAGAUAGAUACAGGGAUUGUGUGUGAGAAGAAUGAAAACGGAAGAGAAAACUCCGUAAAUCAUAUGAAAGAGAUA